GCCUAACACAUGCAAGUCGAGCGGAAACGACACUAACAAUCCUUCGGGUGCGUUAAUGGGCGUCGAGCGGCGGACGGGUGAGUAAUGCCUAGGAAAUUGCCUUGAUGUGGGGGAUAACCAUUGGAAACGAUGGCUAAUACCGCAUAAUGCCUACGGGCCAAAGAGGGGGACCUUCGGGCCUCUCGCGUCAAGAUAUGCCUAGGUGGGAUUAGCUAGUUGGUGAGGUAAUGGCUCACCAAGGCGACGAUCCCUAGCUGGUCUGAGAGGAUGAUCAGCCACACUGGAACUGAGACACGGUCCAGACUCCUACGGGAGGCAGCAGUGGGGAAUAUUGCACAAUGGGCGAAAGCCUGAUGCAGCCAUGCCGCGUGUAUGAAGAAGGCCUUCGGGUUGUAAAGUACUUUCAGCAGUGAGGAAGGUGGUGUAGUUAAUACCUGCGCCAUUUGACGUUAGCUGCAAAAGAAGCACC
rnacentral:rRNA from 1 species